rnacentral:rRNA from 1 species
CGCCUGGGUAGUACGGCCGCAAGGCUAAAACUCAAAGGAAUAGACGGGAGCUUGCACAAGCGGUGGAGCGUGUGGCUCAAUUCGUCGCUAAACGAAGAACCUUACCAGGACUAGAUAUCCUACUGCACGCCUAGCGAAAGCUAGGAAGCCUUCGAGGGUGUAGGACAGGUGAUGCACGGCUGUCGUCAGUUCGUGAUUUGAAUCGUUCCCUUCAGUGGGGUAACGAACGCAACCUUCGUUGCCAGUUACAAGUGUCUGGCGAGACUGCCCCCUCACGGGGGAGGAAGGUGGAGAUGACGCCAAGUCAGCGUGUCCCUCUGAUGUCCUGGGCUGCACACGCGCUACAAUCGCCGUUACAAUGGGGCGCAAUGCCGCAAGGCGGAGCAAAUCCCAAAAAGCGGCGCCAGUUCGGAUUGAGGUCUGCAACUCGACCUCAUGAAGCCGGAAUCGCUAGUAAUCGCGGGUCAGCUAUACCGCGGUGAAUACGUUCUCAAGCUUUGUACUCGGGUCGUCAUGCGAUCGA